UACAGAGGCCCCAAGCGUUACUGAGAAUCACUGGGUUUAAAGGGUGCGUAGGUGGUCCGUUAAGUUCGUUGUGAAAGCCCUGGGCUCAACCCAGGAACUGCUUCGAAUACUGGCGGACUUGAGGCUAGUAGAGGUCACUGGAACUGACGGUGGAGCGGUGAAAUGCGUAGAUAUCGUCAGGAACGCCAACGGUGAAAACAGUCUGCUGGGGGCUCGGCUGACGCUGAGACACGAAAGCCAGGGGAGCGAACGGG
rnacentral:rRNA from 1 species